UAUUACCACAGGCUUGGGGAAAUACUAGUCUGUGGUGUGGUGAUUAAUUUUGAUUUAAGAAUAUUGACAAACUGGGCAUUAUUUGAUUGUUGAGAUUUAGUAUUUAAUGGACCUGGAUUGUUUUUCCAGAGCUGAGGGUGGAAAUUCAUCUGAUGGGGUAGUCCCACAGGCAAUGGCUGCGGCCAUGACGGUUCAAGCCAAAACCCAGCAAACAGAUGGAACAAAGAAACUUUGGAGGAUAACAGAUAAAAGUAGCAACAUAGUAAAUCUACCAAAAAAUGUAGCCCUGGAGUUACAUCGGAGAUAGAACUGACCAGAGCGCUUAAUUCUCGUCUUCUUCGGAGCUGCUGCUACCUACUUCUGUAGUAGAUAGAGAGACUUAAUCGCGGCUGCUAGCUGUCGUUGGUUCGCUGAUGGUUAUUGUCGUUUACCACUGGAGUUCGCCGCCGUUGCUGAUGGUUCGCCCCGAUUGGAGAUGGAGUUCGCCGGUUCGCCGCCGCUGCUGAAGAUGUCGCCUCUUAGACUUGCUCUUCGGUUGAUACUGAAAUAGAUCAAGAGGUAGCAGCGACCAGUCUUGUUCUGAUUCAGGACAAAUCAAAGCUUGGAUGACUGAGCUACCUGCGUUGAAUGUGAAGCGAGAUAGAGAUCGAGAUCUUGAGGAUGGGAUCUGGAUCUGCUUUCUUUGGGUUUACUAGUAACUGUGUCGUCUUGAUUCAGAAGCAAUAUAGAGGCCGGCGAUUUGGAUUGUUUAGUGAGCAGCAAUCUUUCUUUUGUAAUCAAAAAAAUUCAGUCACCGGAGAUGAGAGAAACGCAAGAAAUGCAGAAGAUGUCCUUCACUAAACUCAGUCCCGAAAGCCGUCUGUAAUCUCAGAAUGAGCGUGUACAGGGGCAAGAACACUGAUGAAUAAUGCCUUUUUCUCGAAAAAAUUAGUGAGUCUUACCAGGGUACAUAGCAGUCAAAGCUGAAGAGAUUGCAUUGGGAAGAGCAGCCACCAAUGAUUCUUGUAUCAUGUUGUAGGUAUCAUUGUGAACAAGCAAUGUCGGUGCUUGAUGUGUCUUUGUGCUUGGUGUUUCUUGUGUUCCCCUGUCAUUGCCUAGAAGGUUUUAUGAGGAGUUGAGCGCUUGCCUGGCCCAGAUUUCUUACGACAUUCUAGAAUAAUAUGACCAUCCUUCUUACAAUAGUUGCAAUAAUUCUGCUUCUAAUGAGAAAUAACAUACCCUGUUUCCUUGCAAUGAUAGCAUUGAACACGCUCGUUAGAGUUGCCUGAGGAAGAACUGUUGUAUGCAGCCAUGGUCAUGUCCGUGGUAAGGAAAUUCUCCAUAGAAGCUUAAGAACUCAAUCGAGUUUCUUCUCAACAAACUUCAGUAACUACCACAUCCAAAGCUGAUAGCUUUUCCCUGUUAAGAAUGCUGGCACGCAAAUGCUUGAACUCAGGCUUGAGUUUCAUUAGAAAUUGGACUGUCCUUGUCCUCUUCAUCGUAGUCAUGAAAUUCUUCAAUCCAACCGCAGGAAUAGAGGCAGCAAAAACCUGAUCUUACUCUGCCCAUAAUGUGAGUAAUACAGAAUAGAAACAACGAACAACUUUCUCACCUUGUGUAGAUUCCGCAAGUAGUCUUUCCAAUUUAAAUUCUCUGGCCUGAUUCUGUUGGUUACCAAGGGUAUGUAAAUGACUCCACAUUUCUGAUUCUUUCUCAAAAGAUGUCAAUUCCAUAGUUAUAUCAACAGAGACGGAAUUAACAAGCCAUGUGAUAAUUUUGUCAUUGUCAGCUUCCCAAGCUUCUUUUUCUUUGUCUUCUAUGGGUACAACCUUUGAGCCAUCCUUGGAAUGGGUACAACCUUUGAGCCAUCCAGAAUUCCAAGGAGGUCUUUGCCUCUAAUGAAGGCUUUGAAAUGGAACUUCCAAAUCAGAAAGUUACGCCCAUUGAAUUUUGUUGACAAGGUAUCUCGUGAAUCCAUCCUGAUUCAAAGAGGAAAAAUAAAAAUCGAAGGGAGUCAAGAACAGAUUCGGUGAUGACUGCAGGAUGAUGGAUAUGGAUUGAGAAUCUGAACCAAAGAUGAAUCAAACGAAUGUACUGGGAAAGAAAGAAAAAAAACUGGGUAGUGAGGAUCUGGAAAAAAAUGAGGCUCUUGAUAACCAAAUUGAAUGAGGAUAGAAACCCAAAACAGUUCGAUAUAAAAGAAUUAUAGUCCAUCUUUCUUAUUGAAAACCUGUAGGAUUUACAAGGGGUUUAUACAAAGAAUAGGAGUCCUAAUUAUCUGCUGAUUUCAAGCUAAUGACCGUUAGCAUAAUGGGAGAUCCCUGAUUUUGGGGAGAUUCCUGAUUUGGGGCUAAUAAAUAAGGUAUAGUCAACAGAACUAACACAAGGAUAUAUUUGAUUGUUUUGAAGAACAAAAGUAUGACAUUGUGAAGAAGCUGCAAGAAAGAAAGCACAUUUGUGGUAUGACUGGAGAUAGUGUGAAUGAUCACCAGCACUGAAGAAGGCAGACUUUUGGUAUUGCAGUUGCUGAUGCAACAGAUGCAGCUCGGGGUGCAUCUGAUAUCUUUUUCACCGAACUAGGUCUCGGUAUCAUUAUAAGUGCUGUGCUGACAAGCAGAGCCAUUUUCCAGAGGAUUAAGAACCAUACUAUCUAUGCAGUGUCAAUCACGAUCCGUGUUGUGAUGGGAUUCACGCUUAUUACUCUCAUCUGGGAAUUCAACUUCACUUCCCUCCCUUCGUGGUCCAAUCUUUGCCAUCCUCAAUUAUGGAACCAUCAUGACAAUCUCCAAGGACAGGGUCAAGCCAUCUCCUUUGCCUGACUCGUGGAAGCUCAACAAGAUCUUUGCCACUGGGAUCAUCCUCGGAACCUAUCAAACUCUCAUGACUGUUCCAUUCUUCUAUCUUGCAGCUUCUACUGAUUAACUUACAGAGAAGUUCGGUGUUAAAUCAAUCAGGGGUAACCACUACGAACUUAUAGCUGCUAUAUACCUUCAAGUGAGUAUUAUCAGCCAGUCUCAUCUUUUUGACGAGAUCAAGAAGCUGGUCGUUUGUGGAACGCCCUGGUGAAUGGCUUGUCAUUGCUUUCUUUUUAGCCCAAUUUGUAAGUCCUGAAAAACAAUCAAAACCUGAAUGAACAUUCAAUCUUCACAACUCUGUAUAUACAUAUAUUCUUAUUAAUCAAGAUCCAGUUGUUUUCUUACACAAGCGGAUAAUCUAAUCACUGUCUACGCGGAAUGGGACUUUGCUAGGAUCCAUGGAAUUGUAUGGGGAUGGGCAGCAAUCAUAUGGAUAUACACAAUUAUUACUUAUCUCCCUCUUGUUGUUCUUAAAUUCAUUAGUUGUUACGCGUUGAGUGAUGACGCCUGGGACUCAAUGAUCCAGAAUAAGACCACCUUCACAACGAAGAAGGAUUAUGGAAAAGGUGAAAGAGAAGCACAAUGGGCUAGCUGGGGCUCAAUGUACACUUCACAGUCUCCAAGACUGCAGAAGGCAAUGGAUUAUUUCAUGAUAAGAGCUACAGGGAAUUGAAAGAGAUUCUUAACAAGCUAAACGCCGCGCUGAAGUUUCAAAAUAUACAGAGUAAAUGAAAAAUUACUCAAAAUCUUCAAGAACCAUGCCGCGAGUUUAGGGAACUUUACACUCUCAAACGAACAUGUUGAAAUAAUCCAAUAACACAAAAUUGUCUAAGAUUAUGCAAUCAAUUAUGGGAGAAAGAUGAAUCAAUUUGUUAUUUUGUUAA